rnacentral:rRNA from 1 species
GGAGUCUGGGCCGUGUCUCAGUCCCAAUGUGGCCGAUCAACCUCUCAGUUCGGCUACCGAUCGUAGGUUUGGUGGGCCGUUACCUCACCAACUGCCUAAUCGGACGCGAGGCCAUCCUUCAGCGAAUAAAUCCUUUGGUCACCAGAUCAUGCGAUCCGGUGACGUUAUGCGGUAUUAGCAGUCGUUUCCGGCUGUUAUUCCCCACUGAAGGGCAGGUUCCUCACGCGUUACUCACCCGUCCGCCACUAAGCUUCAAAGAAAGCAAGCUUCCUUUUGGCUUCGUUCGACUUGCAUGUGUUAAGCACGCCGCCAGCGUUCAUC